UACGGAGGGGGCUAGCGUUGUUCGGAGUUACUGGGCGUAAAGCGCGCGCAGGCGGCGGUGUUGGCCCGGCGUGAAAGCCCCCGGCUCAACCGGGGAGGGUCGUCGGGGACCGCACCGCUUGAGGGCGGUAGGGGCUGGUGGAAUGCCUGGUGUAGUGGUGAAAUGCGUAGAGAUCAGGCGGAACACCUGUGGCGAAGGCGGCCAGCUGGGCCGUCCCUGACGCUGAGGCGCGAAGGCGUGGGGAGCGAACGGG
rnacentral:rRNA from 1 species